UUACCUUUUGUAAUGUGUGAACUACGAAUACUUAUUUCUCACUUAUAAGUUAAUUUUUAAAAGUUUCAAUGUGUUUAAAGUGUUCAAAUUUUGGUGAGAAAUAUGUUCCCUGUUUUCAUCUCCAUACCAUGUCUAGUGGUCCAUUAUUUUGAUUGGACCAGGCUUUGCUCUCUGUUUGAGCAUUGAUUUGAAUUCUCCACAUUUUCUAAUUCCAUUCAUAGGUAUUCAAGUAGUUUUAACCAGUUUGAAUUUAGGAAAAAUUUUCUUUUCGGCUCUUCAUGAGAUCAUCUUAUCUAUGAACUCAACAAGACCCUAAAUUUAUCACCCUUUUCUCAAUUUUUCCAGAGUUUUACUAUUGAUUGCUACAAUGUCAGUUUUAUUGUACUGCACAUAUCAAAUCAUGCAGAGUCAUCCAAUAGUCAGCAUUUUUUAUUUAUGUUACCCGAUAUCAGUGUAUUUUAUUUUGUUCGGAGUGACAGUCCAACCUCUUUUUGAUAUCAUUCCUUACCCAACCGUCAGUUGUGAUGAAGAAUGGCCCCCACCAGGUAAGCCAUGUUAAAGCGUUGAAGGUUUUCUUUCUGAUUGUGAUAUUAUAUUGUAAAUGUCAUAUAUUUAUCAUAUUGAUGAAACUGCCAAAGGACCCUGCCUAAUCCUCAUGGGUAUGUGUAUCACAAUCGAUUUCCAAUUUUUUUAUUGCAUUGAAAUCAGCUUUGGAUGCUGAUCAAAAGUCAUCAUUGCGCCAACUCUCUACAAGGCACCAUUUUUGCAGUAUUUCGCACAAUCCACAGUGGAAGUUUCAAUAAUUACUUGAAUAAGUGAGGCCAGUGCGGCGAUAUCUAUCUUUCAGCACUUCCUAAAAAUGAGGAAAACCUGGGAGUCUUAUCUCUGAUUCUGCACGCCUUUUCGUUUCACUGUCCUAAUCAGAUUCUUUCUCUCUUCCACUCUUUUCCUUGCCUAUCACCGGUUUGGGCUUUUCCUGUUAAGGUGAUUCGUUAAGCUCAAGUGACGUGGUCGAACUGGCAUGCGGUAUAUCACAUCGAUUCGGUCAAAAAUCUCGGCAGAUUUUGAAUUUUUAGCUGAAUAAAGGAUGAUAGUCCCUGCGCAAAAGCCUAAAGAAUCAUUCACAAAAACCUUGCAUUUGAUACAGCUAUCGAUUUCUGUAUUGAAUGCAAGGCUUUUUCCCUAACACUAUUCUGCUUUCAUUUCUCUGAACUUUGCCAAUUUCUGGAAUUAGAAUGAUUCUUUAGGCUCAUGCGCAGGGACUAUCGUCCUUUAUUUGGCUAAAAAUUCAAAAUCUGCCUGGAUUUUUUACUAAAUCUGUGUGAUAUACUACAUGCCAGUUCAACCACCUCACUUGAGCUUGACUCACCUUAAAUCGCCAAACUGGCCUCACUUAUUCAAGUAAUUAUCGAAACUUCCAUACCUCGGAUUGUGCGAAAUAUUGCGAAAACGGUGCCUUGUAGAAAGUUGUCGCAAUGAUGACUUUUGAUCAGCAUCCAAGCACGAGUUCAGUGCAAUAAAAAAAUUAGACAUUGAUUGUUACACACAUUCCCAUAAGGAGUGUGCAUGAUCCUUUUGAUAAUAAAAGUGAUAAAAAUGAAGAAAUAAAACAGAAAGCAUACAUCUUGGUUGUCAUAAUUAUAGACUUUUGCAAUACUUCAUUUUUUGUGAAGGAUAACCUUGAACAAAUGUUAGAAGCAUUAAUAUCCUUGGAUGCUGUUUGCUCAAUGCUGCAGGACUGUAUACAUACUUCACUUAAAAAAAAUUAACAUUCAGUUACCAACAUCAACAUCUUUGCUACUCCGAGAAGAAUCCCCAGAAGUUUAUUCAGCUUUAGUUGAAAAGUCACUUAACUCUAAAUAAUAUUGUUAUAUAGAUCAAGAAAUUGAAUGUUUAACUGAACUUUGUUUAUUCUCUCGGGAAACGAUCAUCUAGUGCGUGAUCCUGCUCUUUUGCAAGUGGCUGUUAAUCUGCAAAGAGGAAUUAAGCCAAUGGACCUGCAACAACAAUAACCUUUCAAUAUUCUGAAUCAUACCCUCUCUC
rnacentral:lncRNA from 1 species